rnacentral:rRNA from 1 species
UGGGGAAUUUUGGACAAUGGGCGCAAGCCUGAUCCAGCCAUGCCGCGUGCGGGAAGAAGGCCUUCGGGUUGUAAACCGCUUUUGUCAGGGAAGAAAUCUUCUGAGUUAAUACCUCGGGAGGAUGACGGUACCUGAAGAAUAAGCACCGGCUAACUACGUGCCAGCAGCCGCGGUAAUACGUAGGGUGCAAGCGUUAAUCGGAAUUACUGGGCGUAAAGCGUGCGCAGGCGGUUUUGUAAGACAGAGGUGAAAUCCCCGGGCUCAACCUGGGAACUGCCUUUGUGACUGCAAGGCUUGAGUGCGGCAGAGGGGGAUGGAAUUCCGCGUGUAGCAGUGAAAUGCGUAGAUAUGCGGAGGAACACCGAUGGCGAAGGCAAUCCCCUGGGCCUGCACUGACGCUCAUGCACGAAAGCGUGGGGAGCAAACAGGAUUAGAUAGCCCUGGUAGUCCACGCCCUAAAACGAUGUCAACUGGUUGUUGGGAAGGUUCCUUCUCAGUAACGUAGCUAACGCGUGAAGUUGACCGCCUGGGGAGUACGGCCGCAAGGUUGAAACUCAAAUGAAUU